GACGAACGCUGGCGGCGUGCUUAACACAUGCAAGUCGAACGAAGAGCGACGGAAGCUUGCUUCUAUCAAUCUUAGUGGCGAACGGGUGAGUAACGCGUAAUCAACCUGCCCUUCAGAGGGGGACAACAGUUGGAAACGACUGCUAAUACCGCAUACGAUCUAAUCUCGGCAUCGAGGAUGGAUGAAAGGUGGCCUCUACAUGUAAGCUAUCACUGAAGGAGGGGAUUGCGGCUGAUUAGCUAGUUGGAGGGGUAAGGGCGCACCAAGGCGAUGAUCAGUAGCCGGGCUGAGAGGAUGAACGGCCACAUUGGGACUGAGACACGGCCCAGACGCCUACGGGAGGCAGCAGGGGGGAAUCUUCCGCAAUGGACGAAAGUCUGACGGAGCAACGCCGCGUGAGGGAUGACGGCCUUCGGGUUGUAAAGCUCGGUUAAUCGGGACGAAAGGCCUUCUUGCGAAUAGUGAGAAGGAUUGACGGUACCGGAAUAGAAAGCCACGGCUAACUACGUG
rnacentral:rRNA from 1 species